GACGAACGCUGGCGGCGUGCUUAACACAUGCAAGUCGAACGGAAAGGCCCUGCUUUUGUGGGGUGCUCGAGUGGCGAACGGGUGAGUAACACGUGAGUAACCUGCCCUUGACUUUGGGAUAACUUCAGGAAACUGGGUCUAAUACCGGAUAGGAGCUCCUGCUGCAUGGUGGGGGUUGGAAAGUUUCGGCGGUUGAGGAUGGACUCGCGGCUUAUCAGCUUGUUGGUGGGGUAGUGGCUUACCAAGGCUUUGACGGGUAGCCGGCCUGAGAGGGUGACCGGCCACAUUGGGACUGAGAUACGGCCCAGACUCCUACGGGAGGCAGCAGUGGGGAAUAUUGCACAAUGGGCGGAAGCCUGAUGCAGCAACGCCGCGUGCGGGAUGACGGCCUUCGGGUUGUAAACCGCUUUCGCCUGUGACGAAGCGUGAGUGACGGUAAUGGGUAAAGAAGCACCGGCUAACUACGUG
rnacentral:rRNA from 1 species